GAACCUUCGGGGAACGAUAACGGCGUCGAGCGGCGGACGGGUGAGUAAUGCCUAGGAAAUUGCCCUGAUGUGGGGGAUAACCAUUGGAAACGAUGGCUAAUACCGCAUAAUGCCUACGGGCCAAAGAGGGGGACCUUCGGGCCUCUCGCGUCAGGAUAUGCCUAGGUGGGAUUAGCUAGUUGGUGAGGUAAGGGCUCACCAAGGCGACGAUCCCUAGCUGGUCUGAGAGGAUGAUCAGCCACACUGGAACUGAGACACGGUCCAGACUCCUACGGGAGGCAGCAGUGGGGAAUAUUGCACAAUGGGCGCAAGCCUGAUGCAGCCAUGCCGCGUGUGUGAAGAAGGCCUUCGGGUUGUAAAGCACUUUCAGUCGUGAGGAAGGUAGUGUAGUUAAUAGCUGCAUUAUUUGACGUUAGCGACAGAAGAAGCACCGGCUAACUCCGUGCCAGCAGCCGCGGUAAUACGGAGGGUGCGAGCGUUAAUCGGAAUUACUGGGCGUAAAGCGCAUGCAGGUGGUUUGUUAAGUCAGAUGUGAAAGCCCGGGGCUCAACCUCGGAAUUGCAUUUGAAACUGGCAGACUAGAGUACUGUAGAGGGGGGUAGAAUUUCAGGUGUAGCGGUGAAAUGCGUAGAGAUCUGAAGGAAUACCGGUGGCGAAGGCGGCCCCCUGGACAGAUACUGACACUCAGAUGCGAA
rnacentral:rRNA from 1 species